AGCAUGCCGCGGUGAAUACGUUCCCGGGCCCUUGUACACACCGCCCGUCACACCCAUGGGAGCCGGUAAUACCCGAAGUCCAGUAGUCCAACCACGUGAGGACGCUGCCGAAGGUAGGAUUGGCGACUGGGGUGAAGUCGUAACAAGGUAAC
rnacentral:rRNA from 1 species